rnacentral:rRNA from 1 species
GUGAAACUUAAACGGCCGCGGUAUCCUAACCGUGCAAAGGUAGCGUAAUCACUUGUCUUAUAAAUAAAGACCGGUAUGAAUGGCUAAAUGAAUAUUUAACUGUCUCCUUUAACUAAUCAGUGAAACUGAUCUCUCAGUACAAAAGCUGAGAUAAACUUAUAAGACGAGAAGACCCCGUGGAGCUUUAAAUUUUAACAAAAUAUUCUUAAAACAUAUUUAUGGUAAAAAAUUUUUAGUUGGGGCGACUUUGGAGCAAAACUAAACCUCCAAGAAAGGGCACCGCCUAACCAAGGCUAACAGGCCAAACUAACCGACCCAGUAUUAUUUACUGAUUAACGAACCAAGUUACCCCAGGGAUAACAGCGCCAUCUUCUUCAAGAGUUCAUAUCGACAAGAAGGUUUACGACCUCGAUGUUGGAUCAGGACACCCAAAUGGUGUAGCCGCUAUUAAAGGUUCGUUUGUUCAACGAUUAAUAGUCCUACGUGAUCUGAG